AGCAAUAUGCCAUGAACUGAAGGGCUUGCUUAAAAAGGUUUAUUUUUAUAUUUUUGAAAAAAGCUGACAACGGGGUUCCCUGAAUGAAUUUAAAGGCGAGGCAUCGGUUUGAGCCGUGAACUGAACCAUCGACAACUGAAUAUGGACUUAAAAUUGUUAUGUACACAGAGGAAAGAAAAUUGCGCUCUAAAAGUUGCAUAAGGAUCGGACUCUAAGCACCGAAGAAAUUAAGAAUGCAUCUAUAUAUUUAUAGUGUGCGGCAAAGGAAGGAAGACUCAUACAGACUGUUCCACAUUUUGCAGCUAAAAUUUCUGCACUCAGCGCAAAAUGUUUAAUAUCCGGCUUAACCCCUUAAGCGGAGUGUUUAGAGAUAACGACGACGGCCACUGGCAAUGAAAAGAGCCAAACGCAUAAAAUGAAAACACGUAUGGGAAAGUUUUAAA